rnacentral:rRNA from 1 species
UACGUAGGUGGCAAGCGUUGUCCGGAAUUACUGGGUGUAAAGGGAGCGCAGGCGGGAAGCCAAGCCAGCUGUGAAAACUACGGGCUUAACUUGUAGACUGCAGUUGAAACUGGUUUUCUUGAGUGAAGUAGAGGUUGGCGGAAUUCCGAGUGUAGCGGUGAAAUGCGUAGAUAUUCGGAGGAACACCGGUGGCGAAGGCGGCCAACUGGGCUUUAACUGACGCUGAGGCUCGAAAGUGUGGGGAGCAAACAGG